rnacentral:rRNA from 1 species
UACGGAGGGGGCUAGCGUUGUUCGGAAUUACUGGGCGUAAAGCGCACGUAGGCGGCCUUCUAAGUCGGGCGUGAAAUCCCUGGGCUCAACCCAGGAACUGCACUCGAAACUUCCGGUCUAGAGUGGUGGAGAGGGAAGUGGAAUUCCUGGUGUAGAGGUGAAAUUCGUAGAUAUCAGGAGGAACACCAGUGGCGAAGGCGGCUUCCUGGACACCAACUGACGCUGAGACGCGAAAGCGUGGGGAGCAAACAGG